GAUUAAUCUUUAUACAGGAGGGCUGCCUUUUCAUUCCAAGUGAGCAUCAUACGACCUGAAAACAUUUUACAACAUCUUUGCAUUAAGAAGCAUAAAGCAAGAGUUCAAGCUCAUCAAGAAGACACAGCAGAAGCAGCUCUGCAUCCUCAUACCAGGUUCUAGGAGGUGCCAACAUAACUUUGUGCCUUGGAGAAUAACAGCUCUGAAAUCCAGCAAUCCCAGAGUCUGGAAACCUGAUUGUUCUUGCCUUGUUCCAUCAGGCAGGUCUUCCCUGAAGCCUUAGAGCAGCAGUUCUAGCAGCAGUUCUCAAUCAUAUUAGACCUGAGGCACGCACCCUUCAUUAGACUCAAAGCACCCCUUGGGAAAUGUCAGCUCUUAGCUUUCACUCUUUUCUAACUACAGAACAACAAUUGAGCAACUCUUCUGUUGCAAAGAAAUCAGAAAGACCGUAACAGGUGAGAAUGUUUUUAACACUGUGAGUUCCUGUUUGAAAUCCCUGGGCUUAUCUUGUGAUUCACGCGUAGAUGUUUGCACAUCUAACAGUACUAAUAUUGCACAACUCCUUGUGACACCUUUAAAAGGC
rnacentral:lncRNA from 1 species